rnacentral:rRNA from 1 species
GGCCAGACUCCUACGGGAGGCAGCAGUAAGGGAUAUUGGUCAAUGGGGGAAACCCUGAACCAGCAACGCCGCGUGAGGGAAGACGGUUUUCGGAUUGUAAACCUCUGUCCUCUGUGAAGAUGAUGACGGUAGCAGAGGAGGAAGCUCCGGCUAACUACGUGCCAGCAGCCGCGGUAAUACGUAGGGAGCGAGCGUUGUCCGGAUUUAUUGGGUUUAAAGGGUGCGCAGGCGGAAGAUCAAGUCAGCGGUAAAAUGGGGAGGCUCAACCUCUUCGAGCCGUUGAAACUGGUUUUCUUGAGUUGGAGAGAAGUAUGCGGAAUGCGCGGUGUAGCGGUGAAAUGCAUAGAUAUCGCGCAGAACUCCGAUUGCGAAGGCAGCAUGCCGGCUCCACACUGACGCUGAGGCACGAAAGCGUGGGUAUCGAACAGGAUUAGAUACCCGAGUA